rnacentral:rRNA from 1 species
GAGCAUGAGAACUUCACGAAUCGCACGGCCUUGGGCCGGCGAUGGCUCAUUCAGAUUUCUUCCCUAUCAACUUUGGAUGUUGGGGUAGUGGCCAAACAUGGUUGCAACGGGUAACGGAGGGUUAGGGCUCGACCCCGGAGAAGGAGCCGGAGAAGCGGGUACGACAUCCAAGGAAGGCAGCAGGCGCGCAAAUUGCCCAAUCCCAAUUCGGGGAGGUAGUGACAAUAAAUACUGAUACAGGGCUCUUUCGGGUCUUGUAAUCGGAAUGAGUACAAUUUAAAUCCCUUAACGAGGAACAAUUGGAGGGCAAGUCUGGUGCCAGCAGCCGCGGUAAUUCCAGCUCCAAUAGCGUAUAUUAAAGUUGUUGUGGUUAAAAAGCUCGUAGUUGAACCUUGGGCCUGGCUGGCCGGUCCGCCUCACCGCGUGUACUGGUCCGGGCGGGCCUUUCCCUCUGUGGAACCUCAUGCCCUUCACUGGGUGUGCUGGGGAACCAGGACUUUUAC